rnacentral:rRNA from 1 species
CCUACGGGAGGCUGCAGUGGGGAAUAUUGGACAAUGGGCGAAAGCCUGAUCCAGCCAUGCCGCGUGUGUGAAGAAGGCCUUCGGGUUGUAAAGCACUUUCAGUGGGGAAGAAAGCCUUGGGGCUAAUACCCUCGAGGAAGGACAUCACCCACAGAAGAAGCACCGGCUAACUCCGUGCCAGCAGCCGCGGUAAUACGGAGGGUGCGAGCGUUAAUCGGAAUUACUGGGCGUAAAGCGCGCGUAGGCGGUCUGAUAAGCCGGUUGUGAAAGCCCCGGGCUCAACCUGGGAACGGCAUCCGGAACUGUCAGGCUAGAGUGCAGGAGAGGAAGGUAGAAUUCCCGGUGUAGCGGUGAAAUGCGUAGAGAUCGGGAGGAAUACCAGUGGCGAAGGCGGUCUUCUGGACUGACACUGACGCUGAGGUGCGAAAGCGUGGGUAGCAAACAGGAUUAGAAACCCGAGUAGUC